CUCCCAAUUUUGGCAAAAUAUUGGUAACUAAAAUUGAAUACCAAAAAUAAAAUCAGAACAUAUCCAUGAACUACGAAAAAAUCACAACUUUCCAUCUCACACAAAAACUUGUCGCAAUGAUUUGCUAAUGAGUUUUUACCAGAAAUUUUGGUAAUAAUGAAGCAUAAACUUUAAGUAUCUCAGAAGGAGGCCUAUAAAUUUAAGUACCAAUAAAUCACAACACCCUUGACUAUAUAACUUCUCUCCAAAAGGAGAGAGACAAAAAAGAGACUCAAUAAAUUCAGACCAUAAGAUUGAGGGGAGGAAAAUGAAUUAAGGACCAUGAAAAACCACAUGAAAUUGAAACCCUUUUCAUCAGGCACUAGGACCCCAAAACAACUUUUAGCAGCACAAUACUUUGAUGAAAUAAACUAUUGCUGCUUGCACUCUGGUGGUCUUUCUCCCUGCUGACCAUCACCAACCUGAGUUAUUCCGCUCUUCU
rnacentral:lncRNA from 1 species